rnacentral:lncRNA from 1 species
UUUGACAAACUUUCAUGACAUAAAGCUACUUAAUUGUGCAAAUUUUUGUAUUCUGUGGUCACUUACACACAUACAAGCACAUCAGUCAUAUCCCAGCAGCCAGCUUCAAACUGGUUUGUGUGUGUGGUCUGUGCCUACUAUCCCUUAUUGCUUAUAGACCUCUUAUAAUGUAGUGUUGCUGUAUGUGAAGUCUGCAAAUUUAUUUUAUGGAUUCCAUUUGAUCUCAGAUUUAACAUAACUAAUUUAUGUUUUGUUUCUUAAUUUUUAAGAUUGUAUAUAUAGAAUAACAAUAUUAUAAGUACUUUAUAACUAUAUUAUAAGUAUAAGACAACAAUACAUCACAUAUCAUAUAUAAAAAAAAUUAAGCAACAACACUAACAGAAUAUAAAAAAUUACCAUGUCAUAUAAAAAAAAACAUACCAAUUACCAAUUUAUCAUAUCAAUUAGCAGCAUAUUAUAUCAUAAUCAAUCAUAUAAAGCAAGGACUUUAAUUAUAUCAUAUUCAGUCAUUUAAUAUCACUUCAAUAUUAAAGAGUAUUGAAUAACUGCACUUGCAACAUAAAUUAAUUAGGCAGCAUAUAUACCCAAUAAAGAGUCAUGUACAAAGUGUUGCCUCAUCACAAGUUCACAAAAUAAUAAUAAUAAUAAUAAUAAUAAUAAUAAUAAUAAUAAUAAUAAUAAUAAUAAUAAUAAUAGACUAGUAGUACUAGACCCACGUGACCCUCAAAGCAAAAGGUAAAUAAUACAGUCAAUACACUCAGACUCAUACCCCAUUAGAGGUCAGAAUGCCCAAAAAAAACAGAGCAGCAGAGAAAGAAGAAGAUGAAGAGGAUAAAUAGAAGAGAAGAAGAAGAGGAGAAGCAUACCGGAGGUCACGAGCUGCCGGAGAAGAGGCCAGAGUCGUUGCGAGCUGCCAGAGAAGAGGCCAGAGUCUUUGCGAGCUGCCGGAGAAGAGGCCGAAGCCGUCUCAAGCUGCCGGAUUGAGUCGCCGUCGCGAGUCGCCUCUCUCCCUCUGCUCUGUGAUGACUGAUGAUAUGAAGUGCCGAAGUGGCUCAUCAGCUCGAUCGAUCGAUUUGGUUUGUAGGGUUUCCACUCUAGCAAGUCGCCCGAUUAGCACUCACGUCGUCCAAGUCGCUCAAUAGGCGACCAAGUCGUCCGAAUCGCCUGCAGAUCGCUCGACUUCAUGCUGUGAACCCAAGUCGCCCCGACGCCUUGAAAUUUUAUACCGCUCGGACGACGACGAGUAGGCGACGACUUGAUAAGCAUGGUGUGGUCUGUGCAUACUAUCCCUUAUUGCUUAUAGACCUCUUAUAAUGUAGUGUUGCUGUAUGUGAAGUCUGCAAAUUUAUUUUAUGGAUUCCAUUUGAUCUCAGAUUUAACAUAACUUGCAGGUUUCGGAUCCCUUGGAUUAAUGACUUCAGUCCUGGUAUGUUACCUUUCAAUGUAUAUUCUUCACUUUUGUUUAUAUGGUGUCUUUUUGGUGUACCUAUGAUAUAGACUUAUAACGUGGUAUACUUCUUAUUUGUCCAUUUACAUUCUAAUUAUUUUCUCUAGGUUAUCCUCCUUUGUAUCUUAAAGUUUAAUUGUGUUUUCGGUUAUACACCAAAAUGUAACUGAUCUAAUAUUUUGUUUCUUG